CUCAAACCUUCAUGCUGGAGUGGGCCACUGACCUGAUCCAUGCAAAGUCCUUUAUUUCCUUCCUGUCUCUCUUGAGUUUGUUGAAUGCUGUGUUUUAAAGUUCCAAUCUUGAUUGGACUGUGAUGACAGAAUUAAGGAAAGAAGACGCAUAUGAAAUCCUCCUGGGAGGAAGGUGAAUGACUGCAGACCAGAGCUCAGAACUUCAGACCCAUCUUCACACCCUACAGUAUGAUUACAGAGGAAAAAGUGACUACUUCCAACUGGAAAGUCAAGUAAGGAAGGCUUCUCAACAGAUUCCAUGUCUGAGCUCAGACUUGAAGCUGUGAACACAUGAGACAGUGCAGUCUGAGGCAGCAGCAGCAGCAAAGGCGCAGGGGUAAGCAGGAGACAACUGAGGAAUACCUCCUAUUCCACUGAGGCUGACUCUUGCGCUUCUAGGCUGGAUAUACUGGAAUAGCUGGACCAGUUUGAAACUAUUCCCAACUCACAACCCACUCACAGUCAAAACACAGUUGUCUAUGAAGAGCCUGUAGCCAUGGCCCCAGCGGCUCUCCUUUUUCCUCCAUUCUGACACGGCUUAUGCUGCUCUCCCUUUCCUCACGAACAUACGUGGGUCCUGACCCUCUGCUUAGGUCCUUGCAACCCAUGCUUCAGUGAAGCAGGCUGCCUACAUUCUGCUGGGGUGGGGGUGGGGGGGCGGCCACCUUGUUUGCCAUCUUUUUCUUGGUUCCAGCGCCCAAAUCUAGCUGAAAGCUGGCCCCCGGGGGGGCAAAGCCAAGUCUACUGCCUCAGAACUUUCUUAUUCAGAAUAAGAAUUCAGACACUCCUAAGAGUCAACUUUCGCGGAUAUACGGUUUUUAUUCUUUUUCCCUUUGUGAAGGAAAUAGAAUCAAUAGUCAUUAGCUGUCUUGUGUACAUGAUUUUCACGGAAAUUUCCA
ensembl:lncRNA